AGUAAAAGUCGUAACAAGGUCUCCGUUGGUGAACCAGCGGAGGGAUCAUUACAGAGUUGCAAAACUCCCACAAACCAUCGCGAAUCUUACCCGUACGGUUGCCUCGGCGCUGGCGGUCCGGAAAGGCCCUCGGGUCCUCCCGGAUCCUCGGGUCUCCCGCUCGCGGGAGGCUGCCCGCCGGAGUGCCGAAACUAAACUCUUGAUAUUUUAUGUCUCUCUGAGUAAACUUUUAAAUAAGUCAAAACUUUCAACAACGGAUCUCUUGGUUCUGGCAUCGAUGAAGAACGCAGCGAGAUGCGAUAAGUAAUGUGAAUUGCAGAAUUCAGUGAAUCAUCGAAUCUUUGAACGCACAUUGCGCUCGCCAGUAUUCUGGCGAGCAUGCCUGUUCGAGCGUCAUUUCAACCAUCAAGCUCUGCUUGCGUUGGGGAUCCGCGGCUGCCCGCGGUCCCUCAAAAUCAGUGGCGGGCUCGCUAGUCACACCGAGCGUAGUAACUCUACAUCGCUAUGGUCGUGCGGCGGGUUCUUGCCGUAAAACCCCCCAUUUCUAAGGUUGACCUCGGAUCAGGUAGGAAUACCCGCUGAACUUAAGCAUAUCAAUAAGCGGAGGA
rnacentral:rRNA from 1 species